UACAGAGGUCUCAAGCGUUGUUCGGAUUCAUUGGGCGUAAAGGGUGCGUAGGUGGCGCGGUAAGUCGGGUGUGAAAUCUCGGGGCUUAACUCCGAAACUGCAUUCGAUACUGCCGUGCUAGAGGACUGGAGAGGAGACUGGAAUUUACGGUGUAGCAGUGAAAUGCGUAGAUAUCGUAAGGAAGACCAGUGGCGAAGGCGGGUCUCUGGACAGUUCCUGACACUGAGGCACGAAGGCCAGGGGAGCAAACGGG
rnacentral:rRNA from 1 species